rnacentral:lncRNA from 1 species
AUGGGAAAGACUAGAGAUCUCUUCAAGAAAAUUAGAGAUACCAAGGGAACAUUUCAUGCAAAGAUGGGCUCGAUGAAGGACAGAAAUGGCAUGGACCUAACAGAAGCAGAAGAUAUUAAGAAGAGGUGGCAAGAAUACACAGAAGAACUGUACAAAAAAGAUCUUCAUGACCAAGAUAAUCACGAUGGUGUGAUCACUCAUCUAGAGCCAGACAUCUUGGAAUGUGAAGUCAAGUGGGCCUUAGAAAGCAUCACUAUGAACAAAGCUAGUGGAGGUGAUGGAAUUGCAGUUGAGCUAUUUCAAAUCCAGACAGAUGAUGCUGUGAAAGUGCUGCAUUCAAUAUGCCAGGAAAUUUGGAAAACUCAGCAGUGGCCACAGGACUGGAAAAGGUCAGUGUUCAUUCCAAUUCCAAAGAAAGGCAAUGCCAAAGAAUGCUCAAACUACCACACAAUUGCACUCAGUUCACACGCUAGGACAAUAAUGCUCAAAAUUCUCCAAGCCAGGCCUCAGCAAUACAUGAACCGUGAACUCCCUGAUGUUCAAGCUGGUUUUAGAAAAGGCAGAGGAACCAGAGAUCAAAUUGUCAACAUCUGCUGGAUCAUGGAAAAAGCAAGAGAGUUCCAGAAAAACAUCUACUUCUGCUUUAUUGACUAUGCCAAAGCCUUUGACUGUGUGGGUCACAAUCAGCUGUGGAAAAUGCUGAAGGAGAUGGGAAUACCAGACCAUCUGACCUGCCUCUUGAGAAGUCUGUAUGCAGGUCAGGAAGCAACAGUUAGAACUGGACAUGGAACAACAGACUGGUUCCAAAUAGGAAAAGGAGUACAUCAAGGCUGUAUAUUGUUGCCCUGUUUAUUUAACUUAUAUGCAGAGUACAUCAUGAGAAACGCUGGGCUGGAGGAAGCACAAGCUGGAAUCAAGAUUGCCACGAGAAACAUCAAUAACCUCAGAUAUGCAGAUGAUACCACCCUUAUGGCAGAAAGUGAAGAGGAGCUAAAAUGCCUCUUGAUGAAAGUGAAAGUGGAAAGUGAAAAAGUUGGCUUAAGGCUCAACAUCCAGAAAACGAAGAUCAUGGCAUCUGGUCCCAUCACUUCAUGGGAAAUAGAUGAGGAAACAGUGGAAACAGUGUCAGACUCUAUUUUGGGGGGCUCCAAAAUCACUGCAGAUGGUGACUGCAGCCAUGAAAUUAAAAGACGCUUAGUUCUUGGAAGAAAAGUUAUGACCAACCUAGAUAGCAUAUUGGAAAGCAGAGACAUUACUUUGCCAAGAAAGGUCCGUCUAGUCAAGGGUAUGGUUUUUCCUGUGGUCAUGUAUGGAUGUGAGAGUUGGACUGUGAAGAAGGCUGAGCACCAAAUAAUUGAUGCUUUUGAACUGUGGUGUUGGAGAAGACUCUUGAGAGUUCCUUGGACUGCAAGCAGAUCCAACCAGUCCAUCCUAAAGGAGAUCAGUCCUGGGUGUUCUUUGGAAGGUAUGAUGCUAAAGCUGAAACUCCAGUACUUUGGCCACCUCAUGUGA